GAUGAACGCUGGCGGCGUGCCUAAUACAUGCAAGUCGAGCGAACAGACGAGGAGCUUGCUCCUUUGACGUUAGCGGCGGACGGGUGGGUAACACGUGGGUAACCUACCUAUAAGACUGGGAUAACUUCGGGAAACCGGAGCUAAUACCGGAUAAUAUUUCGAACCGCAUGGUUCGAUAGUGAAAGAUGGCUUUGCUAUCACUUAUAGAUGGACCUGCGCCGUAUUAGCUAGUUGGUAAGGUAACGGCUUACCAAGGCAACGAUACGUAGCCGACCUGAGAGAGUGAUCGGCCACACUGGAACUGAGACACGGUCCAGACUCCUACGGGAGGCAGCAGUAGGGAAUCUUCCGCAAUGGGCGAAAGCCUGACGGAGCAACGCCGCGUGAGUGAUGAAGGUCUUCGGAUCGUAAAACUCUGUUAUUAGGGAAGAAUAAACGUGUAAGUAACUGAGCACGUCUUGACGGUACCUAAUCAGAAAGCCACGGCUAACUACGUG
rnacentral:rRNA from 1 species